AGAAUCAACGCUGGCGGCGUGCCUAACACAUGCAAGUCGCACGAGAAAGGGUAGCAAUACCUGAGUACAGUGGCGCACGGGUGAGUAACACGUGAAUAAUCUACCUCCGAGUGGGGAAUAACUGAGAGAAAUCUUAGCUAAUACCGCAUAACACUUACGAGUCAAAGCAGCAAUGCGCUUGGAGAGGAGUUCGCGGCAGAUUAGUUAGUUGGCGGGGUAAUGGCCCACCAAGACGAUGAUCUGUAUCCGGCCUGAGAGGGCGCACGGACACACUGGAACUGAAACACGGUCCAGACUCCUACGGGAGGCAGCAGUGGGGAAUUUUGCGCAAUGGGGGAAACCCUGACGCAGCAACGCCGCGUGGAGGAUGAAAUCCCUUGGGAUGUAAACUCCUUUCGAUCGGGAAGAUAAUGACGGUACCGAGAGAAGAAGCCCGGCUAACUUCGUGCCAGCAGCCGCGGUAA
rnacentral:rRNA from 1 species